rnacentral:tmRNA from 1 species
GGGCUUGACCGGUUUUGACAGCGGGUAGAAGUGGUUUGUAAGCAGGCAGUGUGUCGUUGUCCGACACUUUAAUCACGGAUGAUAACUAUUAAUUGGCGAAAAUACUUACGCUCUCGCUGCUUAAUCGAAGUACAGUAGAUUUCAAGCUUUAUUCCGGCUCAAGGUAGUUGGAUCGAGACAUCGCCCGGAGCUGUGGCUUCGAAGCUAACCGAUAAGGCGGUGCAGGAAUAUCGGAGAUAGUCCGGCGGAAAUCCCGGCCGACGGAUGAAAUUCAGGGAAUAAGCUCAAUAUUGGUAGCUUCAGUCUUGUGUUGAGUCGAAAAGUAAAGUGAAGAUAAGCCUGUAGAAAGCAAAUUAGUUCCUCGUUUGGACGAGGGUUCGAAUCCCUCCAGGUCCACUU